UACGGGGGGGGCAAGCGUUGUUCGGAAUUACUGGGCGUAAAGGGCUCGUAGGCGGCCAACUAAGUCGGAUGUGAAAUCCCCAGGCUCAACCUGGGAACUGCAUCCGAUACUGGAUGGCUUGAAUUCGGGAGAGGGAUGCAGAAUUCCAGGUGUAGCGGUGAAAUGCGUAGAUAUCUGGAGGAAUACCGGUGGCGAAGGCGGCAUCCUGGACCGGCAUUGACGCUGAGGCGCGAAAGCCAGGGGAGCAAACGGGAUUAGAAACCCUCGUAGUCC
rnacentral:rRNA from 1 species